UGGGGAAUAUUGCACAAUGGAGGGAACUCUGAUGCAGCGACGCCGCGUGAACGAAGAAGGCUUUCGAGUCGUAAAGUUCUUUUAUAUGGGAAGAUAAUGACGGUACCAUAAGAAAAAGCCCCGGCUAACUCCGUGCCAGCAGCCGCGGUAAUACGUAGGGGGCUAGCGUUGUCCGGAAUCACUGGGCGUAAAGGGUUAGCAGGCGGAAAUGCAAGUCAGGUGUAAAAGGCAGUAGCUUAACUACUGUAAGCAUUUGAAACUGCAUAUCUUGAGAAGAGUAGAGGUAAGUGGAAUUUUUAGUGUAGCGGUGAAAUGCAUAGAUAUUAAAAAGAAUACCGGUGGCGAAGGCGACUUACUGGGCUCAUUCUGACGCUGAGGAACGAAAGCGUGGGUAGCAAACAGG
rnacentral:rRNA from 1 species